rnacentral:rRNA from 1 species
GGGCAACCUGCCUGUAAGUUGGGGAUAACUCCGGGAAACCGGGGCUAAUACCGAAUGAUAAAGUGUGGCGCAUGCCACGCUUUUGAAAGAUGGUCUCGGCUAUCGCUUACAGAUGGGCCCGCGGUGCAUUAGCUAGUUGGUAGGGUAAUGNCCUACCAAGGCAACGAUGCAUAGCCGACCUGAGAGGGUGAUCGGCCACNCUGGGACUGANACACGGCCCAGACUCCUACGGGAGGCAGCAGUAGGGAAUCCUCCGCAAUGGACNAAAGUCUGACGGAGCANCGCCGCGUGUAUGAAGAAGGUUUUCGGAUCGUAAAGUACUGUUGUUAAAGAAAAACAAGGAUAAAAGUAACUGCUUGUCCCUUGACGGUAUCUAACCANANUAACUACNUGCCAGCAGCCGCGGUAAUACGUAGGGGGCAAGCGUUGUCCGGAUUNNUUGGGCGUAAAGCGCGCGCAGGCGGUCUUUUAAGUCUGAUGUGAAANCCCCCGGCUUAACCGGGGAGGGUCAUUGNAAACUGGAAGACUGGAGUGCAGAANAGGAGAGUGNAAUUCCACGUGUANCGGUAUNUGUGGAGGANCACCAGUGGCGAAGGCNACUCUCUGGUCUGNAACUGACGCUGAGGCGCGAAAGCGUGNGNAGCAAACAGG